AAUAGGUAGUCCUAAAAUCUCUAGUAAAUCCUACAUCACUAAGGACACUUGAAUAAGCAGAAUUAGGAUCAUAGAACUACUGAGGAGGGGAGUCCUAUAUCUACACUUUUCAAAAUCUAAAGCUUUGCAGGGGAAGGCAAUAUCAAAUUCACAUAAUAAGAAUUGCCAUAUAGACAAUUUAAAGUUUACAAUAAAUCUACAAAACUAGAGCACUUCAUAAAAAAUAGAUGCUUUGCUUUUGGGGUAAUUUAAUCUGUUAAAGCCAUCAACAUUCAUCAUUUAUACAUGGAGGACUGAAAGUUAUUUCUAAUAAAAAUACACAAAUUUUCAGUAACAGUUUUGUUUAACAACACAGGAGACCUAAUAUCUAGAUUCUCAAGCACUGCUCAUCACUACAAUUACGCUGCUUGAUUCAUGCUAAGUAAAUCAAGUGGAUAAUCUAUGUCAAUUAACGGACAUUAGUUUAGAAUUAGCAACAUAAGUUUAGGAUUCAAUUUAGCCUACACCAACACGGGUGGCAUCUCAAGACCAAAAAAAAAAAA
rnacentral:misc_RNA from 1 species